GGCGCUAUAGCCAAGUGGUUACGGCGACAGAUUAGAACUGGUAAAUAUUGGUUUCUCCCAUCUGUUCCUCUUUGAGGGCGCAGGUUCAAAUCCUGCUGGCGUCG